rnacentral:rRNA from 1 species
UGGGGAAUAUUGCACAAUGGGCGCAAGCCUGAUGCAGCCAUGCCGCGUGUAUGAAGAAGGCCUUCGGGUUGUAAAGUACUUUCAGCGGGGAGGAAGGGAGUAAAGUUAAUACCUUUGCUCAUUGACGUUACCCGCAGAAGAAGCACCGGCUAACUCCGUGCCAGCAGCCGCGGUAAUACGGAGGGUGCAAGCGUUAAUCGGAAUUACUGGGCGUAAAGCGCACGCAGGCGGUUUGUUAAGUCAGAUGUGAAAUCCUCGGGCUCAACCUGGGAACUGCAUCUGAUACUGGCAAGCUUGAGUGUCGUAGAGGGGGGUAGAAUUCCAGGUGUAGCGGUGAAAUGCGUAGAGAUCUGGAGGAAUACCGGUGGCGAAGGCGGCCCCCUGGACGAAGACUGACGCUCAGGUGCGAAAGCGUGGGGAGCAAACAGG